rnacentral:rRNA from 1 species
UACGUAGGGACCAAGCGUUGUUCGGAUUUACUGGGCGUAAGGGCGCGUAGGCGGCGUGACAAGUCACUUGUGAAAUCUCCGGGCUUAACCCGGAACUGCCAAGUGAUACUGUCGUGCUAGAGUGCGGAAGGGGCAAUCGGAAUUCUCGGUGUAGCGGUGAAAUGCGUAGAUAUCGAGAGGAACACCUGAGGUGAAGACGGGUUGCUGGGCCGACACUGACGCUGAGUGCGCGAAAGCCAGGGGAGCAAACGGG